CAAGCAAAAGAAAAGAGAAUAUAUCAUCUCAGAAUGAAUUUGAACAAAAACCAUCGUCAGGUAAUGAUGGUUGCUGCUAUAUUUCCCUGAUCAGUUUAUGCUAUUAUGAUGUUGUACGGGGCAACAACAAUUCAAAUAGCAACUCUAUCCUAUUUCUACUACUACAACAAAGAAAGAAAAUUUAUACGUAUGUAGUAGAGAAAAGAAUGUGGUGGUGGUGCAUCAAAACUGAAAAUU
rnacentral:misc_RNA from 1 species